rnacentral:rRNA from 1 species
UAAUACGUAGGGUGCAAGCGUUAAUCGGAAUUACUGGGCGUAAAGCGUGCGCAGGCGGUCCGCUAAGACAGAUGUGAAAUCCCCGGGCUUAACCUGGGAACUGCAUUUGUGACUGGCGGGCUAGAGUAUGGCAGAGGGGGGUAGAAUUCCACGUGUAGCAGUGAAAUGCGUAGAGAUGUGGAGGAAUACCGAUGGCGAAGGCAGCCCCCUGGGCCAAUACUGACGCUCAUGCACGAAAGCGUGGGGAGCAAACAGGAUUAGAUACCCUGGUAGUCCACGCCCUAAACGAUGUCAACUAGUUGUCGGGUCUUCAUUGACUUGGUAACGUAGCUAACGCGUGAAGUUGACCGCCUGGGGAGUACGGUCGCAAGAUUAAAACUUAAAGGAAUUGACGG